rnacentral:tRNA from 1 species
UGGAGCAGUUGGUAGCUCGUCGGGCUCAUAACCCGAAGGUCGUAGGUUCAAGUCCUGC